rnacentral:rRNA from 1 species
UCAUACGUAGGACCCAAGCGUUAUCCGGAGUGACUGGGCGUAAAGAGUUGCGUAGGCGGCUUAUUAAGUGGAUAGUGAAACCUGGUGGCUCAACCAUACAGACUAUUAUCCAAACUGAUAAGCUUGAGAAUGGUAGAGGUGAUUGGAAUUUCUAGUGUAGGGGUAAUAUCCGUAGAUAUUAGAAGGAACACCAAUGGCGUAGGCAGAUCACUGGACCAUUUCUGACGCUGAGGCACGAAAGCGUGGGGAGCGAACCGG